UACGAAGGGGGCUAGCGUUGCUCGGAAUCACUGGGCGUAAAGCGCACGUAGGCGGAUCUUUAAGUCAGGGGUGAAAUCCCGAGGCUCAACCUCGGAACUGCCCUUGAUACUGGGGAUCUCGAGUCCGGAAGAGGUUGGUGGAACUCCGAGUGUAGAGGUGAAAUUCGUAGAUAUUCGGAAGAACACCAGUGGCGAAGGCGGCCAACUGGUCCGGCACUGACGCUGAGGUGCGAAGGCGUGGGGAGCAAACAGG
rnacentral:rRNA from 1 species